CGAGUGGCGCACGGGUGAGUAAUACAUCGGAACGUGUCUUCUAGUGGGGGAUAACUGCCCGAAGGGGCAGCUAAUACCGCAUGAGACCUGAGGGUGAAAGCGGGGGAUCGCAAGACCUCGCGCUGGAAGAGCGGCCGAUGUCCGAUUAGCUAGUUGGUGAGGUAAAGGCUCACCAAGGCGACGAUACAUAGGGGGACUGAGAGGUUAACCCCCCACAUUGGUACUGAGACACGGACCAA
rnacentral:rRNA from 1 species